rnacentral:rRNA from 1 species
AGAGUUUGAUCCAUGGCUCAGGAUGAACGCUGGCGGCGUGCUUAACACAUGCAAGUCGAACGAUGAAGCCCUGCUUGCAGGGUGGAUUAGUGGCGAACGGGUGAGUAACACGUGAGUAACCUGCCCCUGACUCUGGGAUAAGCCCGGGAAACUGGGUCUAAUACCGGAUAUGACUUCCUACUGCAUGGUGGGUUGUUGAAAGAUUUAUCGGUGGGGGAUGGACUCGCGGCCUAUCAGCUUGUUGGUGAGGUAAUGGCUCACCAAGGCGACGACGGGUAGCCGGCCUGAGAGGGUGACCGGCCACACUGGGACUGAGACACGGCCCAGACUCCUACGGGAGGCAGCAGUGGGGAAUAUUGCACAAUGGGCGGAAGCCUGAUGCAGCGACGCCGCGUGAGGGAUGACGGCCUUCGGGUUGUAAACCUCUUUCAGUAGGGAAGAAGCGAAAGUGACGGUACCUGCAGAAGAAGCGCCGGCUAACUACGUGCCAGCAGCCGCGGUAAUACGUAGGGCGCAAGCGUUAUCCGGAUUUAUUGGGCGUAAAGAGCUCGUAGGCGGUUUGUCGCGUCUGCCGUGAAGGUCCGAGGCUCAACCUCGGAUCUGCGGUGGGUACGGGCAGACUAGAGUGAUGUAGGGGAGACUGGAAUUCCUGGUGUAGCGGUGAAAUGCGCAGAUAUCAGGAGGAACACCGAUGGCGAAGGCAGGUCUCUGGGCAUUUACUGACGCAGCUAACGCAUUAAGUUCCCCGCCUGGGGAGUACGGCCGCAAGGCUAAAACUCAAAGGAAUUGACGGGGACCCGCACAAGCGGCGGAGCAUGCGGAUUAAUUCGAUGCAACGCGAAGAACCUUACCAAGGCUUGACAUACACGAGAACGGGCCAGAAAUGGUCAACUCUCUGGACACUCGUGAACAGGUGGUGCAUGGUUGUCGUCAGCUCGUGUCGUGAGAUGUUGGGUUAAGUCCCGCAACGAGCGCAACCCUCGUUCUAUGUUGCCAGCACGUAAUGGUGGGAACUCAUGGGAUACUGCCGGGGUCAACUCGGAGGAAGGUGGGGAUGACGUCAAAUCAUCAUGCCCCUUAUGUCUUGGGCUUCACGCAUGCUACAAUGGCCGGUACAAAGGGCUGCAAUACCGCGAGGUGGAGCGAAUCCCAAAAAGCCGGUCCCAGUUCGGAUUGAGGUCUGCAACUCGACCUCAUGAAGUCGGAGUCGCUAGUAAUCGCAGAUCAGCAACGCUGCGGUGAAUACGUUCCCGGGUCUUGUACACACCGCCCGUCAAGUCAUGAAAGUCGGUAACACCUGAAGCCGGUGGCCCAACCCUUGUGGAGGGAGCCGUCGAAGGUGGGAUCGGUAAUUAGGACUAAGUCGUAACAAGGUAACCGUA